UACAGAGGGGGCAAGCGUUGUUCGGAAUUACUGGGCGUAAAGGGCGCGUAGGCGGCCUUCUAAGUCGAACGUGAAAUCCCCGGGCUCAACCCGGGAACUGCGUCCGAGACUGAAAGGCUCGAAUCCGGGAGAGGGAUGUGGAAUUCCAGGUGUAGCGGUGAAAUGCGUAGAUGUCUGGAGGAACACCGGUGGCGAAGGCGGCAUCCUGGACCGGUAUUGACGCUGAGGCGCGAAAGCCAGGGGAGCAAACGGG
rnacentral:rRNA from 1 species